rnacentral:snoRNA from 1 species
AAGUAGGAAAAAGAAACAUGGGGGCCACGUGUGCAAUGGCUGUGAACAGCAGCCUCCUUGGGAGUGCAUGUAGCCUGUUGCCUAUAUGGGUUACCCUAAGGGACCUUGGAGACAAUU